GGUUAACGGAGCGAAAGCGACGUUCAACCGCAAAACAAGCAGAGGGGGCUUAGUGGUGGGGUGACUGCGUACCUUUUGUAUAAUGGGUCAGCGACUUAUAUUCUGUAGCAAGGUUAACCGUAUAGGGGAGCCGGAGGGAAACCGAGUCUUAAUUGGGCGUUAAGUUGCAGGGUAUAGACCCGAAACCCGGUGAUCUAGCCAUGGGCAGGUUGAAGGUUGGGUAACACUAACUGGAGGACCGAACCGACUAAUGUUGAAAAAUUAGCGGAUGACCUGUGGCUGGGGGUGAAAGGCCAAUCAAACCGGGAGAUAGCUGGUUCUCCCCGAAAGCUAUUUAGGUAGCGCCUCGUGAAUUCAUCUCCGGGGGUAGAGCACUGUUUCGGCUAGGGGGCCAUCCCGGCUUACCAACCCGAUGCAAACUGCGAAUACCGGAGAAUGUUAUCACGGGAGACACACGGCGGGUGCUAACGUCCGUCGUGAAGAGGGAAACAACCCAGACCGCCAGCUAAGGUCCCAAAGUCAUGGUUAAGUGGGAAACGAUGUGGGAAGGCCCAGACAGCCAGGAUGUUGGCUUAGAAGCAGCCAUCAUUUAAAGAAAGCGUAAUAGCUCACUGGUCGAGUCGGCCUGCGCGGAAGAUGUAACGGGGCUAAACCAUGCACCGAAGCUGCGGCAGCGAACGUAUCACUUAAAGCGAUUCAGCGGGUUACGAUUGACGGAGCGAAGCGACGUCAAAGCGUAUACAAAGUCGAGUCGGUUUAAGGAUACGUUCGUUGGGUAGGGGAGCGUUCUGUAAGCCUGCGAAGGUGGCCUGUGAGGGUUGCUGGAGGUAUCAGAAGUGCGAAUGCUGACAUAAGUAACGAUAAAGCGGGUGAAAAGCCCGCUCGCCGGAAGACCAAGGGUUCCUGUCCAACGUUAAUCGGGGCAGGGUGAGUCGACCCCUAAGGCGAGGCCGAAAGGCGUAGUCGAUGGGAAACGGGUUAAUAUUCCCGUACUUGGUGUUACUGCGAAGGGGGGACGGAGAAGGCUAUGUUGGCCGGGCGACGGUUGUCCCGGUUUAAGCGUGUAGGCUGGUUUUCCAGGCAAAUCCGGAAAAUCAAGGCUGAGGCGUGACGACGAGGCACUACGGUGCUGAAGCAACAAAUGCCCUGCUUCCAGGAAAAGCCUCUAAGCAUCAGGUAACACGAAAUCGUACCCCAAACCGACACAGGUGGUCAGGUAGAGAAUACCAAGGCGCUUGAGAGAACUCGGGUGAAGGAACUAGGCAAAAUGGUGCCGUAACUUCGGGAGAAGGCACGCUGACACGUAGGUGAAGUGAUUUACUCAUGGAGCUGAAGUCAGUCGAAGAUACCAGCUGGCUGCAACUGUUUAUUAAAAACACAGCACUGUGCAAACACGAAAGUGGACGUAUACGGUGUGACGCCUGCCCGGUGCCGGAAGGUUAAUUGAUGGGGUCAGCGCAAGCGAAGCUCCUGAUCGAAGCCCCGGUAAACGGCGGCCGUAACUAUAACGGUCCUAAGGUAGCGAAAUUCCUUGUCGGGUAAGUUCCGACCUGCACGAAUGGCGUAAUGAUGGCCAGGCUGUCUCCACCCGAGACUCAGUGAAAUUGAACUCGCUGUGAAGAUGCAGUGUACCCGCGGCAAGACGGAAAGACCCCGUGAACCUUUACUAUAGCUUGACACUGAACAUUGAGCCUUGAUGUGUAGGAUAGGUGGGAGGCUUUGAAGCGUGGACGCCAGUCUGCGUGGAGCCGACCUUGAAAUACCACCCUUUAAUGUUUGAUGUUCUAACGUGGACCCGUUA
rnacentral:rRNA from 1 species